rnacentral:lncRNA from 1 species
AUGUUUUUGAGGUACUUAACUUCAUUCCUUUUGUUCUUCCUUCUGUCUCUUUCUACAGUGCUCUCUGGAUCGAAUGCCAGGUAUAGUGCUGCAAACUUACUUAAAAUGCCAUCUCUCCAAUGUGUCUCCUUAGAAGUAGCUCCUACAGAGUUCAAUCAGAUUUGCUCACAGUCAACACCUAGAAACUCUUAACUGUGAAUGUGACCACAGUCUAAAUGGCUGGAGCUACAUUUAUACAGCACAGAACUGGAGCAUCCAAGUUGUCUCCUCCUGAAGUUUAUGCAAGCUUUUGUCUAUCAGGUUUUUAGCUGGGAGGCGAAAUAUAUGAUGCCAAUAAACAGGGCGAGAGGGGUUGGUGAGGCA